CCAGUCAGUGGUAAGGCUGCAUUGGUCUUUCGCUCUGCACAACAAAGGGCAAACUGCCUGCCUGCAACACGGACUCCAGUUUACUUCUUGUCGAGCAAAGCUGAAAAGACUCGCUCAGCCCAGCCAGGAGACGCCAUUUGUCGUGGAAAUUAGACAACACACGCAGACUUUUCCUGUGAAGGACUCUCUGGCUGAAGCUGAGCAGGCGAUGGAGACCAACAAUCAGCUGGAGAAUAUGGAGACCAACACUCAGGUAGGAGAUAUUAAUUUAAAUAACUCCUACCUGAUGUCCAAAGUGAACACACUGGAAGACUGUGUGCAGCUGUUGGACGAAGAGCUUGCUCAGACCCGGAUGAGGUGUAAUGAGAUAAUGAUGGAGCUGGAGCAAGAGCAGGAGGCUCACAGAAUCCUGGAGUCCCACUGCGAAGAGAUGAAGACAACUUUAAAAACGUGUGACGAGUUACUCAAGGUGUGCGAGGGAGAGGUGAAGGAUCACAGUAUCCUAAAGGUAUCUCUGGCAGAGGUUGAGAGGAAAUACAAGCAGGCAAUGGAGUCCAAUGCUCAUCUGGAGAAUGAGACCUUUGACCUGAUGUCCAAGAUGGGCAUACUGCAAAACUCCAUGCAGGAAAUGACAAAUAAGUGUGCUGAGGCAACAAAGAAUUACGAGAAAACAAAGCGUAUUCUUGAGUACGUGUUGGCCACUGCCAAUGAGCGGGAGAAAACUUUAAAUCUGGAAAUAGACUUACUUCAGGCUUCUCUGGCUGAAGCUGAGAGGCAUUAUGAAUUUUUGGUAACAGACUACUAUGAGUCAGUUGACACACAGAAUAACUUGAGAGCUGAGCUGAGCACUCUGCACGGAAAAGUGGGUGAUCUGCAGGGAGCGCUCAGAACAGUAACAAGGGAGUGUGAGCAAUUGAGAAGCAUGAGGGACAAAUUGAGUUUAAUGAGUACAACUAUACUAAAAGACCAUGAGUUAGAACUUCAAGCACACGGUACACUGAAGGAACAGCACGUUGAGUUACUAACGGAGCGUAAACGAGAGCAGGCCUGUCUGGCUGAAGCUGAGAGGAAAUACAAAGAAGUCAUGGAGGCCAAUGCUCAGUUGGAGAAAGAGAAGUCUGACCUGCAGUCCCAGGUGAACACACUGCAAGGCUCAGUGCAGCAGCUGAAGGAAGAGCACUCUGAGACACGCAUGAAGUGUGAUGAAAUGCUGGUCUCUCUGGCUGCAGCUGACAACCUGUAUGAGGAAGCGAUGCAGUCCAAGGCUAAGAUGAAGAAUGAAAUAUUGGACCUGAAGUACCACUUGCACACACUGCGAGACUCAGUGCGGGAGCUGGAGAUAAUGCUCUCUGAUGGAGAGAUGCACUGCGACGCUAUAAAGCAGGAGACAGAACAAGAGCGGGAGGCUUACUGUAUCCUGAAGAUGCAAUACAAAAAGAUGAAGGAAACUAUUCAGAGGUUCAGAGAGCUACUAAUUAACUAUCACACAGAGCUUGGUUUCGUGGAGCAGGUUGAUCUGUGAACCCCAGAUAAUUGCCACGGGCAUGUUUUAACACCUGGAUAUUCUCUUACAGUGCAUCCGGAAAGUAUUCACAGCGCUUCACUUUUUCCACAUUUUGUUAUGUUGCAGCAUUAUUCCCAAAUGGAUUAAAUUCAUUAUUUUCGUCAAAAUUCUACAAACAAUAUCCCAUAAUGACAAGGUGAAAUAAGUUUGUUUGAAAUCUUUGCAAAUUUAUUAGAAAUGAAAAACAACAACAAAAAAAGCACAUGUACAAACUUCUUUGGAAAAACUGAAGCGCUGUGAAUACUUUCCGGAUGUACUGUAUGUACACACGAGAAUUUCCAGGUGUUAAUCCCUGUCCCUGGUCUCCCUGAAGGAGGAGGCGAAACAGAACGACAGCCAACAUGCAGACGCUGAAGAAUGAUGACGAAUGGAUGCAAUAAACAAUAAAUAAAGAUGGUG
ensembl:lncRNA